AACGAACGCUGGCGGCAUGCCUAACACAUGCAAGUCGAACGAAGGCUUCGGCCUUAGUAGCGCACGGGUGCGUAACGCGUGGGAAUCUGCCCUUUGGUUCGGAAUAACAGCUGGAAACGGCUGCUAAUACCGGAUGAUGACGAAAGUCCAAAGAUUUAUCGCCAGAGGAUGAGCCCGCGUUGGAUUAGGUAGGUGGUGGGGUAAAGGCCUACCAAGCCGACGAUCCAUAGCUGGUCUGAGAGGAUGAUCAGCCACACUGGGACUGGGACACGGCCCAGACUCCUACGGGAGGCAGCAGUGGGGGAUAUUGGAAAAUGGGCGGAAGCCUGAUCCAGCAAUGCCGCGUGAGUGAUGAAGGCCCUAGGGUUGUAAAGCUCUUUUACACGGGAAGAUAAUGACUGUACCGGGAGAAUAAGCCCCGGCUAACUCCGUG
rnacentral:rRNA from 1 species